CCUCCUCCUCGUCCCCUCCGUCCCCCCGCCUCGUCCCCCACCCGGCAAACUUCCUCCGGGCGGCCCGGCCCGGCCCGGCCCGGCCCCCCGCAGCGCGGCCGCCAGCCGGCCCCCGCCUCCGCCCCGGCGCCCGGGCCCGGGUCCGCAGUGCCAGCGCGGUUUCAAAACUCUCAUCACUCACCAAACCCCUGAUCUUGCAAAAACUUGGGUGGGACUUUCGAUGCCUGUGAAUGUUUGUGUUGAAUUUAAAGCCCCGCGGUGGGUGGUGCUCGGCUGAGGCUACAGCGCUCCUGGGAAGCAGGAGAAUGCGGCAGACGGGAAAGGAAUGCUGACAAACUGGAACAAGUUCAGCAGAAGACCACCAUGAUGGCAAGAGACCUGGAGCAUUUGCUCCGUGAGGGGAUGGGACCUAACAACCCCACAGCAGCUUAUCAAGAAGUUGAAGCCAGACUCUUCACAGCACUGUGAGGUUGAAGGACAAGAAGCAGCAGACUCGAGCUGAAAAAGAAGAAUUUCAGACUGUAUAUAAGGAAAAUAUUUUUUGUCGUGAGCACAGUCAGGCAGUGUAACAGGUUGCCCAUCCUCAUAGACAAGCUGAUGAGGUAUGGGCUAGAUAAACGGCCAGUGAGGUGAACUGAAAACUGGCUGAACUCUUGGGUUCAAAGGGUUGUGAUCAGUGUCAUGAAGUCCAGCAGAAGUCCAGUUGCUAGUGGUGUACCACAGUGGUCAAUAUAAGGCCAAUAUUGUUUAAUAUCUUCAUUAACAACCUAGCUGAUGGGACAAAGUGUCUUGCUGUACCCUCAGCAAGUUUGCAGAUGGUACAAAACCGGAAGAAGUGUUGAUACACCAAAUAGUUGUGCUGCUAUUCAGAGGGGCCUGGACAGGCUGGAGAAAUGGGCCAGCAGGAAUCUCAUGAAGUUCAACAAAGGGACAAGCCAUGUCCUGCACCUGGAGAGAAAUAUUCCCAUGCACCAGUACAGACUGGCAGCUGACCAGCUGCAAAGUUGCUCUACUGAAAAGGUGCCGGGGUCCUUACGAACAAGUUGAACAUGAACAAGCAAUGUGUCCUUGCAGCAAAGCAAGCCAACAGCAUCCUGGGCUCAUGAGGAAAAGAACAUCACCUGAUGGGAGAGUGUAAAGAAACAGAGCCAGACUAUUGUCAGUGGUAUACACUGGCAGGGAAGGGGCAAUGGACACAAACUGAGAUACAGGAAGUUCAAUUUAAGCAUAAGACUCUUUUUUUAAUUAUUUUUUUUUUUUUUUUUUUUACUAUGAGAGUAAGUAAAUACUGGAGCAGGUUGGC